UACGUAGGGGGCUAGCGUUGUCCGGAAUCAUUGGGCGUAAAGCGUGUGUAGGCGGACUUGUAAGUACCUUGUGAAAUCCCACGGCUCAACCGUGGAACUGCUUGGUAUACUGCUUGUCUUGAGCCACUUAGGGGCUACCGGAACAAAUGGUGGAGCGGUGAAAUGCGUAGAUAUCAUUUGGAACGCCGAUGGUGAAAACAGGUAGCUGGGAGUGUGCUGACGCUGAGACACGAAAGCCAGGGGAGCGAACGGG
rnacentral:rRNA from 1 species